GCCGGUGUGGCGAAAUGGCAGACGCACAGGACUUAAAAUCCUGGGGCCGUAAAAAGCCGUGUGGGUUCGAGUCCCACCACCGGCACCA
rnacentral:tRNA from 1 species